rnacentral:rRNA from 1 species
GGGCCCGCACAAGUAGUGGAGCAUGUGGUUUAAUUCGAAGAUACGCGCAGAACCUUACCAACACUUGACAUGUUCGUCGCGACUUUAAGAGAUUAAAGUUUUCGGUUCGGCCGACGAAACACAGGUGCUGCAUGGCUGUCGUCAGCUCGUGUCGUGAGAUGUUGGUUAAGUCCCGCAACGAUGCGCAACCCUCACUUUUUAGUUGCCAUCAUUAAGUUGGGCACUCUGAAAGAACUGCCAGUGAUAAGCUGGAGGAAGGUGGGGAUGACGUCAAGUCCUCAUGGCCCUUACGUGUUGGGCUACACACGUGCUACAAUGGUAUCUACAACAGGAAGCAAGACGGCGACGUUAGCAAA